rnacentral:rRNA from 1 species
AUGGCUCUAGUUGGUCAGGCUGCCAUGGUUGCGCAGUUUGCAGGAGUGGACGCAUACGGGAUCAUCAAGAUGAUCGCCGAUGCGGCGCAGACGGUCCGGAGGAACAGAGCCACCUGCCUGCAGCUCGCGCGCCGCGCCAAGAUGAUCGGAGACCUGCUGCACCAGCUCCACGCCGCGCAGCUCAUGCAGCAGCCGGAGACGAGGAACCCGAUGGAGCAGCUCGAGGAGACGCUCCGGCGCGCGCUGCUGCUCGUCAGGUCCUGCCAGGGCCGCAGAUACCUCUACCGGUGCUUCUUGGGGGCGCGCCACGCCGACGAGCUCCGCGAGGUGCAGGGUGAGAUCACCUUCUACCUCCAGCUUUUCCCUCUCGUCAGCCACGUCGACACCACCCUCACCUGGGUCAGACUCCUCAACAAAGGUGCUGCUCCUGAAGCUCCUUCAUGCAAAGAGGCACCUGUGGUAAGACCAUAUUUUGUGCCGGAUGAAUGGUGUUUGCUAGUUUCUCAUUCAGGAAGUAUACUUUGGCACUCUCUUCUUGUAAUAUCUACUAACCACCCGUCGGGAAAAAUUUAUUCUGGCAUGUAUCUGCAGGAGUUCAAAUUGUUGUGCAACUGA